UACGAAGGGGGCUAGCGUUGCUCGGAAUGACUGGGCGUAAAGGGUGCGUAGGCGGUCGGGUAAGUCUGAUGUGAAAUCUCACAGCUUAACUGUGAAACUGCAUUGGAUACUAUCCGGCUUGAGGAAUGGAGGGGAGACUGGAAUACUUGGUGUAGCAGUGAAAUGCGUAGAUAUCAAGUGGAACACCAGUGGCGAAGGCGAGUCUCUGGACAUUUCCUGACGCUGAGGCACGAAAGCCAGGGGAGCAAACGGG
rnacentral:rRNA from 1 species